GUCCGUGUGGCCUAAUGGUCAAGGCGCCUGCCUUCUAUGUGUAUGCAUAGGGAGCAACUCCAGCAGGAGAUUGCGGGUUCGAGUCCCACCAUGGACU